CCCCAGUCUCCUAAGGCUGUUCCAGCCCAUAAUACUCUCCCUGUCUCCUAAGGCCUCUCCAUCCCAUAAUACUGCCAGACGCCUGACCUGUGGGCCAAACCCCAGCCAGUUCCACACAUCGAGGCUGUGUCAGCGCCGCAGGCCUCCCUCCCUGUCCCUCCUCCCUCCCUGGUCGGCGCUUUCCCUCCCAGGCUUUCUCCCGCCCUCCUGCCCUGGGCCCCUCUCCCAGCCCCACCCCGUGCCUGCCUGGGCCCUCGCUUCCCCUCCAGCCUCCUCCCUUGCCCUUUCUCCAUUGCUUGGUUCUCCAGCCAGCUUCCCCCUGUCUUGCACUUUCCUACCUCCUCCUUGGUCUGUGGGAUGGACAUGGGCCUAGUGGGGAGAGAGUGCCCCCAGAGGGCAACAGGCCAGUCGCUGCCCCUAAAGACUGCCUGCUUGACCUAGCACCGUGGAAACCUGCCCAGCCUGCCUUGCUCACCACCUCCCGUGGUCCUACGUCUGAUUGCUGGCAGAGCUCUGUCUGGGGCAAAGUGCUAAGAUUUUGGACUACGAGGUUUGGCGCUGCCAGUGCUCUCAGGACAGGAAGGGCACAGGUCUUGAACCCUGAAGAUGAAGAGAGAUGGAGCAGGUGCUAAUCACCAGGCCUCUUCCAGAGCGGCUGGAGGUAAGUGCCGGGCUCCAGGCUCCAAUCUCCACCCAGAUGGAGAAAGGCCCAGAUUUCAUGGCUAUCCCUGAGGAAUCUGGGUCAGUUCUCUGAUUUGGCCACCAGGGGUCAUUUUACCCCUGUAAAUCACCAUCUGGAGCACUUGGCAUAAAGGCACACACAAAAGGCUACCCUGGACUAAAACAGACACAAACGGAGAACCCUGACACACACACACACACACACACACACACCUCUCUCUCUCUCUCUCUCACACACACACACACACACAUUCUCUCACACACACAGAGUGCGUGCACACACAGAUAAAAAUACAGUAUUGAGACAUAGGGACAGAAAUGCUAUAGGACGCACACAGGGCAACAGCUCCUUCAGUAAUGCCAGGGUCUGAAGAUGUCCACAAGUGCCAACUCUGCAGCCCCUCCGAGCCCCCAACUUGGGUGAAGAGGGAAGGAAUAGCCGGGCACAAUGGCUCAUGCCUGUAAUCCCAGCACUUUGGGACGCAGGCAGAUUCACCUGAGGUCAGGAGUUCGAGACCAGUCUGGCCAACAUAGUGAAACCCUAUCACUACUAAAAAUACAAAAAAUUAGCCGGGUGUGGUGGUGUGCACCUGUAAUCCCAGCUACUUGGGAGGCUGAGGCAGGAGAAUCCUAUGAACCCGGGAGGCAGAGGUUGCAGUGUGCUGAGAUCGCGCCAUUGCACUCCAGCCCAGGUGACAGUGCGAGACCCUGUCUCAACAAAAAAAAAAAAAGAGGGAAGGACUAGUAGGUGGCCCAUUUCCCUUGCUUCCAGCGUGCUGAGAAUGGACAGCCUAUUCCUGUCCUCCCAUCUCACUCUUAACUUCCCCAUAAACUUUUCUCUCCUGGCUGUGGCACAGUUCCCUUUUCCCUCCCCCAGAGAAGCCCCAUCCCCUCUGCCUGAGUGUAUGACUAGUUCCACCCCCCAGUCUCCAUCCCUGCCCCAGGGCUGCUGCUCUGAUAUGCCCAGGGUAGUGUUCCAUUUUAUGUACUACUCCUAGGGCCG
rnacentral:lncRNA from 1 species